UACGUAGGGCGCGAGCGUUGUCCGGAAUUAUUGGGCGUAAAGAGCUCGUAGGCGGCCGGUUGCGUCUGCUGUGAAAUCCCGGGGCUUAACCCCGGGCGUGCAGUGGAUACGGGCCGGCUGGAGGCAGGCAGGGGAGAAUGGAAUUCCCGGUGUAGCGGUGAAAUGCGCAGAUAUCUGGAGGAAUACCGGUGGCGAAGGCGGCAUCCUGGACCGACAUUGACGCUGAGGAGCGAAAGCUAGGGGAGCAAACGGG
rnacentral:rRNA from 1 species